UAGGGAAUAUUGGACAAUGGGGGCAACCCUGAUCCAGCCAUGCCGCGUGAGUGAAGAAGGCCCUCGGGUUGUAAAGCUCUUUUGUCCGGAAAGAAAAGCUUCGGGUUAAUACCCCGGGGUUCUGACGGUACCGGAAGAAUAAGCACCGGCUAACUUCGUGCCAGCAGCCGCGGUAAUACGAAGGGUGCAAGCGUUACUCGGAAUUACUGGGCGUAAAGCGUGCGUAGGUGGUUGUUUAAGUCUGAUGUGAAAGCCCUGGGCUCAACCUGGGAAUAGCAUUGGAAACUGGGCAGCUAGAGUGCGGUAGAGGGUAGUGGAAUUCCCGGUGUAGCAGUGAAAUGCGUAGAGAUCGGGAGGAAUAUCAGUGGCGAAGGCGCCCAUCUGGACGGUAACUGACGCUGAGACGCGAUAGCGUGGGGAGCAAACA
rnacentral:rRNA from 1 species